CUCAGUGGGAAACGAGGUGAGAUUUCUUAAACAAUGAGGAUGUUGGCUUAGAAGCAGCCAUUCAUUUAAAGAGUGCGUAACAGCUCACUCAUCAAGAGAUCUUGCGCGGAAAAUGUAACGGGGCUCAAGCAUAUGACCGACGAUAUGGAUGCGUAAUUUAUUACGCGUGGUAGAGGAGCGUUCCUAUCUGCGUUGAAGUCGAACCGCGAGGUUCGGUGGAGCGUUAGGAAGUGAGAAUGCUGGAAUCAGUAACCAUAAGGCAGGUGAGAAUCCUGCCCACCGAAAGAGCAAGGUUUCCUGGGCAACGAUAAUCGUCCCAGGGUUAGUCGGUCCUAAGCCGAGGCGCGUAGCGUAGGCGAUGGACAACAGGUUAAUAUUCCUGUACCGGUAUUACUUUGUUUGCAUGACACGGCAUAUUAGCGAGAGCGGACUAUUGAUAUUUCCGUCUAAGUAGUAGAAAUGGCUACAAAUGAAACGUUUGAAUAAAACGAAUUCUCGUGAAGGUGCUGGCCAGAAAAGCAUGCAAACGCGUGGGUAAUGCCGUCCGUACCGCAAACCGACACAGGUGCUCAGGUCGAGAAGACCAAGGUGUACGAGUGAUUCUUCGUUAAGGAACUCGGCAAUACAGCGACCGUAACUUCGGGAUAAGGUCUGCCCCCUCACAAUGUUUAUAAUGUUGUGAGAUUUGCCUCAAGAGUUUUCUUUUAACAAAAAUGUAGAUUAAUGGUUUUAGUAACACCUAAUAUUUACAGAGCGAGCAACAAUGAGAAAGAAAGCUUUAGAACGUCUUUUUACAAUGCCUUUAUAAGUAUUGUGAGGGGGCCGCAGCUAAAGAACCCAUGCAACUGUUUACCAAAAACACAGGUCUCUGCUAACACGAAAGUGGAUGUAUAGGGGCUGACUCCUGCCCGGUGCUGGAAGGUUAAGGGGAGAGCUUCACGGCUUGAACUGAAGCCCCAGUGAACGGCGGCGGUAACUAUAACCGUCCUAAGGUAGCGAAAUUCCUUGUCAGGUAAGUUCUGACCCGCACGAAUGGAGUAAUGAUAUGGGUACUGUCUCAACGAAGAGCUCGGUGAACGUGCAUUGACGGUAAAGAUGCCGUCUGUCCGCAGCAGGACGAAAAGACCCUAUGGAGCUUUACUACAGCUUGACAUUGAAUCGAGCUGCAAUAUGUGUAGCAUAGCUGGGAGACUUUGAAGCCUAGGCGCCAGCCUAGGUGGAGUCGAAAUAUGAAAUACCAGCCUUAUUGUAGUUUUAUUCUUACGUGUCCCUUUAAUUGCCGCUGACGCUUAUGAGACACCCUUUCAGGGUUUCUCAUCGCGCGGUGCGACUGGCAAAAGCCAGCUCGCUCCGGCUGCUCUUCCCGACGGAGGAGAAGAUAAGUCAGAGGUUAUUACAGGGACGCAGACAGUGUCUGGUGGGUAGUUUAACUGGGGCGGUUGCCUCCUAAAGAGUAUCGGAGGCGUUCAAAGGUUGGCUAGAUACGGAUGGAAAUCGUAUCGAUAGUGCAUGCGCAGAAGCCAGCUUGACUGUGAGACCUACAAGUCGAUCAGGCACGAAAGUGGGAGCAAGUGACCCGCUGUAUUAACCAUUUAUGGUUUAUGAGAGUGGAAUCGACAGCGCAAACGGAUAAAAGUUACCCUAGGGAUAACAGGCUUAUCGGGCCCAAUAGUUCACAUAGACGGCCCGGUUUGGCACCUCGAUGUCGGCUCAUCACAUCCUGGAGGGGGAGCACCUUCCAAGGGUCCGGCUGUUCGCCGGUUAAAGUGGUACGUGAGCUGGGUUCAGAACGUCGUGAGACAGUUCGGUUUAUAUCCGCUGUGGACGUCAGGAAAAUUGAGAGAAUUUGACCCUAGUACGAGAGGACCGGGUUGAACGCACCGCUGGUGUACCAAUUGUGGGAUCUACCUGCAUCGUUGGGUAGCUAUGUGCGGACCAGAUAAGCGCUGAAAGCAUAUUAAGCGCGAAACUGACCUCAAGAUUAGUUUUCCCUAUGGAGCCCCCUGAAAGACGAUCAGGUUGAUAGGCGCAAGGUGUAAGAGCAGCAAUGUUUUCAGCCGAAGCGUACUAAUAGGGCCAUUGACUUUCUAAG
rnacentral:rRNA from 1 species